UAGCCUACGGGGGGCAGCAGUAGGGAAUUUUCGUCAAUGGGCGCAAGCCUGAACGAGCAAUGCCGCGUGAACGAGGAAGGUCUUCGGAUCGUAAAGUUCUGUUGAAGGGGAAAAAGAGCGGAGAGAGGAAAUGCUUUCUGAUUGAUAUUACCCUUCGAGGAAGUCACGGCUAACUACGUGCCAGCAGCCGCGGUAAUACGUAGGUGGCGAGCGUUAUCCGGAAUGAUUGGGCGUAACGGGUGCGUAGGUGGGCGCUUAAGUCAGGUGUGAAAACUCCGGGCUCAACCUGGAGACUGCACUUGCAA
rnacentral:rRNA from 1 species